CUAACUGGUCCAGUGCUUUGCAAACCAUCGCUCAGAACGCUGGGCCCCAGGAUAUGUCUCCAGGGCACGGGGGUCCGGGGGGCAGAGGGCUGUGGAUGAGGGAGCGUUGUGCCCCUGCCCCACUUCAACAGGUCAGCUCUACUUGUCUCUGUGUCACACCUUGAGGUCUGGUAGAAGCUCUAUUCAACCAGAGGCCCCCCGAAAUUUUUUUAGGAAAAACAGAAACUAAAAAAUAUAUAUAUGUAGUUCAACCGGGUAGCCAUCUUACAAGAAGUGCCUGUCCAAACGUAUUUGUAAGGCCCUUAAAGCACAUCCCGCAGUAUCCAAUCCAGAGCAGUCCCCCACUGCAAAGAGUCAUCGGGUCCAAGUGGCCCCUUUGUCCAGGGAAAGAGCAGGAGGGUGGGAAUCAGUGCCAGGCCUUAGCUCGGCUCUGCCACGAACAGGUCGUGUAACUUACACCAAGUGCUUUCCCUCCCUAGACUCUGCAGCUCAUUUACAAGUGCAAGUGGGGGGUGGCCCCCCUUGGGAAGGCUGGGCUGCACAGUGGUUAGGGGGCGUCCCGGGUGAGCCUGAUGGGGGCGGGGGCCGCUGGGAGAGGCGCACCAGGGCAGGAGUGCCAAGUGCUGGGCGCCCCGGUCUCCGGCGAGCCUGUGGAUCUGGGAGGCCCACUCCAGCUCUGUCACUGAGAGACUGACUCAGCUGGCAGCCGUAGGGCCCGGUUGCCGGGGGAAAUGCUGUCGGCACAUUUAUUCUGGGUUUGGAUAUUUAAAGAGCUGGGUGUGUGGCACGACAUUUCGGAAGUGCUUGGGGAGGGAGGGGUUGCGGACCAGGGCUUUUUUUUUAACCGUUAGAGAUAUCCUGUCCUGAUCUCUCGGGUCCACAAAGAGUGAUUUUCUUCCCUAAGAAUCGGACGUGGGUUCUGCCCAUUGUGUCUACCUGGCUGUGCAGCCUGGCAGGAAGCAGGUGGCCCAAGGUGGGACCUGGCUGCCGUGGGUCCCCAUCCCAGUGCCACCCUGCCCCCUGGACGAGAAGCCUGGCAGUGGCCCCCGAGAUGCAUAUGGAGAAAUCUUCCAGAACUGAGGCCCCCGUCAGCAAAUUGCACCUGUGGUGCAGUGAGUGGCACAGGAGUUCGCACGUUUUUCUGUAACAGACCUGAGAGUAGAGGCAGGUGAUGUGAUCCGAGGUGCAAGCGCAGUCCUGCCUCCCAACCAGGUGAGUUUCUUGGCUGCCCUGGGCCUCAAUUUCCUCACCUCUAAAGGGUGGACGCUGAUGCUACCUACCUCACAGGUACAUUUUGAAGGUCAGGUGUAGGUGAAAUGAUGCAUUAGAAGCCCAGUGAAGGCCCAGGGAUGGGAACAAUUGUGGCUUUACAGUAUAAUCCUACAAAUUCUAGAAGUUACAGGAUUAUAGGCUGAAUUAUGUCCCCAAAACAUUCAUCUGUUGACGUCCUAACCCCUAGGAGCUCAGAAUGUGAAAGGAUUUGGAGACAGGGGUCUUUACAAGGGUAAUUACAUGAAAAUGAAGUCCCUAGGGUGGACCCUAAUCCCAUGUGACUGGUGUCCUUAAAAGAAGAGUUGGUUAGGAUGCAGACGCACAUGGAGGGAAGACCACCUGAGGACACAGGGAGAAGACGGCAUCUCCAAGCCAAGGAGGGAGCCUCGAAAGGAACCAUCCCUGCCGACACCCUGACCUUGGACUUCCAGCCUCCGAACGGUGAGAAAAUAACUUCUGUUGUUUAAGCCUCCAGCCCUUGGUCCUCUGUGAUGGCCGCCCACGUGAACUGACCACAGGUCCUUAACUGGAAUAUCGGUGUCACCGUUGUUCAUUGUCUGAAUCUCCACCCUGAGGUCCUUACCAUCUAAGCACGCUGCUGAGAGAGCUCGUCUGAGCAGGACACGGCCCCGGCCCCCUUCCCACUCCUGGAGCCCCUCAUCUUCCCAGGGGCCCUGCUCUCCUUCUUCCCAGGACCGUCUCUCCCAGGUGACGGCUCUCGACGCCCCUGGAGGGAAUUUGCUCCUUGCCCUUUCGGGAGCCUCACUCCGCCGUUUCCCGCCCAAGAUGUCCCUCUGGAGGGCACAUCUGCCCUUCAAUGAGGUGGAUUUAAAACUCUCCAAAUACCAACAGGAGACUGUGUUCGAGCCUGCUCCACUGGGAUCACCAACACGAUGGUCUCUUAGGCUUGUGGGAUCUUAGCUCCCUGACCAGGGAUUGAACUCGGGCCCCGGCAGUGAAAGCUCUGAGUCCUAACCACUGGACCACCAGGGAAUUCCCAGCAAAAUUUUAAGUCUAUAAUCCAUCAUUGUUUUUUUAAAUUUAUUUUAAUUUUUAUUGACGUAGAGUUGAUUUACAAUGUUGUGUUACUUUCUGCUGUACAACAAAGUGCUUCAGUUAUAUAUAUAUAUUCUUUUCCAUUAUGGUCUGUUAUAGGAUAUUGGAUAUAGUUCCCUGUGCUCUACAGUAGGUCCUUGUUGUUGUUUAUCUAUUUUUAUCUAUAGUAGUUUGUAUCUGUUAAUCUCAAAUUCCUAAUUUACUCCUCCACCACCCCCCUCCCCCUCGGCAACCACAAGUCUGUUCUCUAUGUCUGUAAGUCUGUCUCUGUUCCGUAAAUAAAGUCAUUGGUGUCGACACGUAUCGUGUAUCAUGUAAGUGACAUCAUCUGGUUGUAAUCCACGACUGCUGACUAUUGGUACAGUGUCGUACAGCAGAUACUUAGAGCUCGUUCAUCUCAUUUGACUGAAACUUUAUGCCUAUCGAUCAGUAAUUCCCCAUAAUUCCCCUCUCUUUCCAGUCCCUGGCAACCAGCAUUGCACUCUGAUUCUAUGAAUGUGACCUUUUAAUUUCAGAUACCUCAUGUAAGUGGAACCAUGUCUUUCUGUGACUUGCUUAUUCACUGAGAGUAAUGUCCUCAAGGUUCACCCAUGUUGUCCCAUUUUGCACAAUUUCUUUCUUUUUAAGGUUUGAAUGGUGUUCCAUCGUACUCCUCUAUCAUAUUUCUUUAUCUGUUCACCUAUCGAUGGACAUUUAGGUCGCUUCCGCAUCUUGACUAUUGUGAGUGACGUCAUAAUGAAUACAGGAGUGCUAAUACCUCUUUGAGAUCCUGAAUUCAAUUCAUUUGGAUAAAUACCCAUUAGUGGGAUUGCAGGGUAGGAUUCUGAAGAUACAGAGAGGAGAUCCCUGGAGCUGUGCCUGCAGUGCUUCCUCAGGUUACAAAGGCACCGCUAGCCCUGCGCUGGGAGCACAGGAAAGUGGUUGGGGGUGAGGUUAUUUUUGUCUUGCAAACUGCAGGCCAGGUCUUUCUCCUGGGCCAGGGAGUUAACCAGUGCACCUCGUCUGCUAAGUCAUCCCCUGUUUUCUCAGGAGACAGUCUUAUAAAUCUGGCUAAUAACUCCCAUUUCAUUUCCCCAAACUCCGUUAGAGGCAAGUUAUAAUGAAGCUCAAAUACUCGCCAGGUUAUUCACGGGAAAGACCUUUGGCUUUUAAAAAAUGCAUUUUAGGUGGCCAGAUUAAUCUAGCGGCACAUUACAGUGCAGCCCUGCUGAAGUUCUGCGGGAGAUCCCUGGCACCCGGCAUUGUACCUUGCACAGUGCUGCCAGGAGCGUGAACUAUCUUUACAGGAAGAGGCGAGAAUUAAUAUGUCAGAUG